UACGUAGGGCGCAAGCGUUGUCCGGAUUCAUUGGGCGUAAAGGGUGUGUAGGUGGCGCCGUAAGUCGGGUGUGAAAUUUCGGAGCUUAACUCCGAAACUGCAUUCGAUACUGCGGUGCUUGAGGACUGGAGAGGAGACUGGAAUUCAUGGUGUAGCAGUGAAAUGCGUAGAGAUCAUGAGGAAGACCAGUGGCGAAGGGGGGUCUCUGGACAGUUCCUGACACUGAGACACGAAGGCCAGGGGAGCAAACGGG
rnacentral:rRNA from 1 species